rnacentral:rRNA from 1 species
GAUGAACGCUGGCGGCGUGCCUAAUACAUGCAAGUCGAGCGAACAGACGAGGAGCUUGCUCCUCUGACGUUAGCGGCGGACGGGUGAGUAACACGUGGACAACCUACCUAUAAGACUGGGAUAACUUCGGGAAACCGGAGCUAAUACCGGAUAAUAUAUUGAACCGCAUGGUUCAAUAGUGAAAGACGGUUUUGCUGUCACUUAUAGAUGGAUCCGCGCCGCAUUAGCUAGUUGGUAAGGUAACGGCUUACCAAGGCAACGAUGCGUAGCCGACCUGAGGGGGUGAUCGGCCACACUGGAACUGAGACACGGUCCAGACUCCGACGGGAGGCAGCAGUAGGGAAUCUUACGCAAUGGGCGAAAGCCUGACGGAGCAACGCCGCGUGAGUGAUGAAGGUCUUCGGAUCGUAAAACUCUGUUAUUAGGGAAGAACAAAUGUGUAAGUAACUAUGCACGUCUUGACGGUACCUAAUCAGAAAGCCACGGCUAACUACGUG